CCUAGUAAAAAAGCUAGAAUUACAACAUAAGACCAGAAGACCCUGUGAAGCUUAAAUAAAAAUAUUAAACCACAUAAUAACUACUUUCGGUUGGGGCGACCUUGGAAAAAAAAAGAACUUCCAAAUAAAAUGAAUAUACCUCAUAUCUAAACAGGCCAACAAGCCAAAAAUGACCCAGCACAGCUGAUAAUUGAACCAAGUUACUCCAGGGAUAACAGCGCAAUCUUCUUCAAGAGCCCAUAUCAAAAAGAAGGUUUACGACCUCGAUGUUGGAUCAGGACAUCCUAAUGGUGCAGCCGCUAUUAAGGGUUCGUUUGUUCAACGAUUAAUA
rnacentral:rRNA from 1 species